rnacentral:rRNA from 1 species
UGGGGAAUAUUGGACAAUGGGCGAAAGCCUGAUCCAGCCAUGCCGCGUGUGUGAAGAAGGUCUUCGGAUUGUAAAGCACUUUAAGUUGGGAGGAAGGGCAUUAACCUAAUACGUUAGUGUUUUGACGUUACCGACAGAAUAAGCACCGGCUAACUCUGUGCCAGCAGCCGCGGUAAUACAGAGGGUGCAAGCGUUAAUCGGAAUUACUGGGCGUAAAGCGCGCGUAGGUGGUUUGUUAAGUUGGAUGUGAAAUCCCCGGGCUCAACCUGGGAACAGCAUUCAAAACUGACUGACUAGAGUAUGGUAGAGGGUGGUGGAAUUUCCUGUGUAGCGGUGAAAUGCGUAGAUAUAGGAAGGAACACCAGUGGCGAAGGCGACCACCUGGACUAAUACUGACACUGAGGUGCGAAAGCGUGGGGAGCAAACA